rnacentral:rRNA from 1 species
UACGUAGGCAGCGAGCGUUGUUCGGAGUUACUGGGCGUAAAGGGUGCGUAGGUGGGCAAGUAAGUCAGUGGUGAAAUCUCCGGGCUUAACCCGGAAACUGCCAUUGAUACUAUUUGUCUUGAAUACUGUGGAGGUCAGCGGAAUAUGUCAUGUAGCGGUGAAAUGCUUAGAUAUGACAUAGAACACCAAUUGCGAAGGCAGCUGGCUACACAAAUAUUGACACUGAGGCACGGAAGCGUGGGGAUCAAACAGG